AUUGAACGCUGGCGGCAGGCCUAACACAUGCAAGUCGAGCGCGCGGGGGACGGGGGAGAGAUGUCUGGGAGACUGUGUGAUGGGGGGGGGGAAAUAAAGGAAAAGGUGGCUCAUACAGCAUAACAUCAGAUGUGUGCAGAUGGGGUUAGCUAGUAGGUGGGGUAAAGGCUCACCUAGGGGACGAUCCCUAGCUGGUCAGAUAGGAUGACCAGCCACACUGGAACUUAGACACGGUCCCGACUCCUACGGGAGGCAGCAGUGGGGAAUAUUGCACAAUGGGCGCAAGCCUGAUGCAGCCAUGCCGCGUGUGUGAAGAAGGCCUUCGGGUUGUAAAGCACUUUCAGCGGGGAGGCGUUACCCGCAGAAGAAGCACCGGCUAACUCCGUGCCAGCAGCCGCGGUAAUGC
rnacentral:rRNA from 1 species